GAGAGUAUAGCUCAAGUGGUAGAGCGUGUGCUUAGCAUGCAUGAGGUCCUGGGUUCAAUCCCCAGUAUCUCC
rnacentral:tRNA from 1 species